rnacentral:rRNA from 1 species
UGGUGGAGUGAUUUGUCUGGUUAAUUCCGAUAACGAACGAGACUCUAGCCUGCUAAAUAGACGGGCGAUCCCUUCGUGGGUCGACCCGAUUUGCUUCUUAGAGGGACAAGUGGCGUUCCUAGCCACACGAAAUUGAGCAAUAACA